GACGAACGCUGGCGGCGUGCUUAACACAUGCAAGUCGAACGGAAAGGCCCUGCUUUUGUGGGGUGCUCGAGUGGCGAACGGGUGAGUAACACGUGAGUAACCUGCCCUUGACUUUGGGAUAACUUCAGGAAACUGGGGCUAAUACCGGAUAGGAGCUCCUGCUGCAUGGUGGGGGUUGGAAAGUUUCGGCGGUUGGGGAUGGACUCGCGGCUUAUCAGCUUGUUGGUGGGGUAGUGGCUUACCAAGGCUUUGACGGGUAGCCGGCAUGAGAGGGUGACCGGCCACAUGGGGACUGAGAUACGGCCCAGACUCCUACGGGAGGCAGCAGUGGGGAAUAUUGCACAAUGGGCGGAAGCCUGAUGCAGCAACGCCGCGUGCGGGAUGACGGCCUUCGGGUUGUAAACCGCUUUCGCCUGUGACGAAGCGUGAGUGACGGUAAUGGGUAAAGAAGCACCGGCUAACUACGUG
rnacentral:rRNA from 1 species